UGAGGAAUAUUGGUCAAUGGGCGCAGGCCUGAACCAGCCAAGUCGCGUGAGGGAUGACGGUCCUACGGAUUGUAAACCUCUUUUGUCGGGGAGUAACGUGCGGGACGCGUCCCGUAUUGAGAGUACCCGAAGAAAAAGCAUCGGCUAACUCCGUGCCAGCAGCCGCGGUAAUACGGAGGAUGCGAGCGUUAUCCGGAUUUAUUGGGUUUAAAGGGUGCGUAGGCGGAUGGGUAAGUCAGCGGUGAAAUGUCCCGGCUCAACCGGGGAACUGCCAUUGAUACUGCCUGUCUUGAAUGCGGAUGCCGUGGGAGGAAUGUGUAGUGUAGCGGUGAAAUGCAUAGAUAUUACACAGAACACCGAUUGCGAAGGCAUCUCACGAAUCCGUUAUUGACG
rnacentral:rRNA from 1 species